CUACGUGCCAGCAGCCGCGGUAAUACGUAGGUGGCAAGCGUUGUCCGGAAUUAUUGGGCGUAAAGCGCGCGCAGGCGGAUUGGUCAGUCUGUCUUAAAAGUUCGGGGCUUAACCCCGUGAUGGGAUGGAAACUGCCAAUCUAGAGUAUCGGAGAGGAAAGUGGAAUUCCUAGUGUAGCGGUGAAAUGCGUAGAUAUUAGGAAGAACACCAGUGGCGAAGGCGACUUUCUGGACGAAAACUGACGCUGAGGCUCGAAAGCGUGGGGAGCAAACAGGAUUAGAUACCCUGGUAGUCCACGCCGUAAACGAUGAGUGCUAGGUGUUAGACCCUUUCCGGGGUUUAGUGCCGCAGCUAACGCAUUAAGCACUCCGCCUGGGGAGUACGACCGCAAGGUUGAAACUCAAAGGAAUUGACGGGGGCCCGCACAAGCGGAGGAACAUGUGGUUUAAUUCGAUGAUACGCGAGGAACCUUACCCGGGCUUGAA
rnacentral:rRNA from 1 species